rnacentral:rRNA from 1 species
CGCUAUCACUCCUACGGGGAGGCAGCAGUAGGGAAUCUCACAAUGGGCGCAAGCCUGAUGGAGCAACACCGCGUGAGUGAAGAAGGGUUUCGGCUCGUAAAGCUCUGUUGUUAAAGAAGAACACGUAUGAGAGUAACUGUUCAUACGUUGACGGUAUUUAACCAGAAAGUCACGGCUAACUACGUGCCAGCAGCCGCGGUAAUACGUAGGUGGCAAGCGUUAUCCGGAUUUAUUGGGCGUAAAGAGAGUGCAGGCGGUUUUCUAAGUCUGAUGUGAAAGCCUUCGGCUUAACCGGAGAAGUGCAUCGGAAACUGGAUAACCUGAGUGCAGAAGAGGGUAGUGGAACUCCAUGUGUAGCGGUGGAAUGCGUAGAUAUAUGGAAGAACACCAGUGGCGAAGGCGGCUACCUGGUCUGCAACUGACGCUGAGACUCGAAAGCAUGGGUAGCGAACAGGAUUAGAUACCCUGGUAG